GACGAACGCUGGCGGCGUGCUUAACACAUGCAAGUCGAACGGAAAGGCCCUGCUUUUGUGGGGUGCUCGAGUGGCGAACGGGUGAGUAACACGUGAGUAACCUGCCCUUGACUUUGGGAUAACUUCAGGAAACUGGGGCUAAUACCGGAUAGGAGCUCCUGCUGCAUGGUGGGGGUUGGAAAGUUUCGGCGGUUGGGGAUGGACUCGCGGCUUAUCAGCUUGUUGGUGGGGUAGUGGCUUACCAAGGCUUUGACGGGUAGCCGGCCUGAGAGGGUGACCGGCCACAUUGGGACUGAGAUGCGGCCCAGACUCCUACGGGAGGCAGCAGUGGGGAAUAUUGCACAAUGGGCGGAAGCCUGAUGCAGCAACGCCGCGUGCGGGAUGACGGCCUUCGGGUUGUAAACCGCUUUCGCCUGUGACGAAGCGUGAGUGACGGUAAUGGGUAAAGAAGCACCGGCCAACUACGUG
rnacentral:rRNA from 1 species